rnacentral:rRNA from 1 species
UACCAGCACCCCGAGUGGUCGGGACGUUUUAUUGGGCCUAAAGCAUCCGUAGCCGGUUCUACAAGUCUUCCGUUAAAUCCACCUGCUUAACAGAUGGGCUGCGGAAGAUACUAUAGAGCUAGGAGGCGGGAGAGGCAAGCGGUACUCGAUGGGUAGGGGUAAAAUCCGUUGAUCCAUUGAAGAACACCAGUGGCGAAGGCGGCUCACUGGCCCGAUACUGACGCUGAGGCGCGAAAGCGUGGGGAGCAAACAGG